rnacentral:misc_RNA from 1 species
CAAGUAUGUAAUAAAUCUAAAACUUGCUACAAAAUGUUUUUACACAUCUAUGAUUUUGAACUCUAUUCAAUAAGAAGAUUUCUUUGUGCAUUCAUCAGUAGUAAUGCCUAGAUUUAACUGUGGUUAACAAUAGCAACAAAAACUUCAAGAGUGUGAUGAUUCGUCUUUCUUCCCAGCAAGAAUCAUUGAAAUCUGGAGACCUCUACUGAACGCCUGGUUGAAGAGCAACCGCGUCUGGAACUCUGAUACGAAUGGGAACCAAGACAAGACCACAACUGGCGCGAAUAUGAACAGACCCAUGAUGCAUUCGUAUGCCCGUGCCAACUCCAUCACUGAAUCCCAAAUUCCAAGUCCCUUAAAACAGGGCCUGCAUGCUUGACCAAUAAGAAGAAUGCCCCAGCCUGUCGG